GUGGGAGUGGUGUAACUGGCAACACGUCGGUCUCCAAAACCGAAGAAUUCGGGUUCAACUCCCGCCUCCCGCG
rnacentral:tRNA from 1 species